ACUUAAUCUGACUUAUGCACACCACAGUGUUGUCCAUAGAAUGUACAAAUAACCCCAUAAGAAAGGUUAAUCAAAUGUGCACUGUGACUUAGGAUAAAAUGCCUGGGACGGCUGACCAAUUCGAUUCAUAUCUCCUAGUGGAGAUCCAUAAUGUCUCAAUUCUUAAUUAUCUAGUCUUUUGUGCAUUAAAAAAAAAUGGCCAAUAAAAUGUCAGCCAAGAAACACACUGUUCAUUCCUUUCAGGUUUAUUUUAAACCUAUUGCACUUAGGCUAGAGCUAAAUCAAUUUUUCAUGAAUAUCUACCCCGGUAGAUUGCACCUCUAGCCAAUUCAGAUCCCCAGAGAAUUUUAAAAAAGAGAUUUAUCAAGUAACAAGUAACACCUCAGGAAAAAGAAACAGGGUUUUUAAUUGCUUUGUGUGC
rnacentral:lncRNA from 1 species